UUAUGGAGUUGGGGGCUCUGGGAUGUCAGGCUGUCUCUGGGAACGUGGUUCACUGUUCCAUCCCUUAUAGAGUUUCCUAUUGGGUCUCUACUGGGCCACCAGAGCCAGCCCCAUUCAACCAAAUCAGGCUGCCUUUCACCACCCCACAAUUAUCCCCAGAUUUGAGGAUUCAAAGGUCUUCUGAUAUAGUCUAGUAUUAAGCCUCAGGUUCAGAGCCUGGAUCUCUUACUGAAAUUGAAGAUCACUGAUAAAUGAGUAGUCGACAAGCCACAGGGGAGAUUGGGAAGUAUGCACAGAUUGCUGCACCUACCUUUUGUGUGUAGACUCUUUACUAUAGUCAACAAGAAUUUUCCUAACUGAGCUAUUUUUCAUACCUUGCAAGUCAUAUAUUUUCUCUGCUUCUUCCUUCAAGGAUAUAUUAUUGAAUUUCAAUCUGUUUGUGAAUGUUUUUAUUUUCUUUUUUAUAGAUGUCCAGUUUUAUUUCAGAUUUAUUCCAUCAGGCUAAAACUGAUAGCUAUAAUAUUUAAAUUGCUUUGAAUUUAUUACAACUUUGUGACACCAUAGAUAAUCUUUAGAAAGUUUUCCAUAUGUAAUAAUAAGAUUAUAUUCUGUUUUAUAUCUAUUAUACCCAUAUGACCUACAGUUUUUCAAAAAGACCCAAAGUCAAUCACUUUAUACAAUUCUUCCAAAAAGUUGAAGAAAUAAAAGAAAAUACCACUUCCAAAUUCAAGUCAUCUUAUAAAGUCAAGAUUACCCUAAUUUUGAAGCCACAGAAACUAC
rnacentral:lncRNA from 1 species